AUAGUAACAACAUGGGCGGUGCAGCCGUACGUAGAAAACGCCCAUAACUCUGGAUGUUCAGCAUGUUUUAUAUCGGUCAGGCGGAGAUGGAGAUGUGAUCAAAGCAACGUUUUCCCUGUCAGCAGUCCCCACCUCCCUCUUCUACUGAAACAAGUUGCCUGCAGCUGCUAAAGAGAUGAGGUCAUUUUACCUAGCUACAUAUUUUUCCAUUGCACACCGGUCUGUGAGACACAGGGGAACUUAUGACCUGAUGAACUAGCAACAUAACAGAUGGUCAGCUGAAAUAAUGUUCUGCAUAUUAGAAAAUAUCAGGUGGUUAAAAUGUGGAGGAUAAAUGAACAAAAUCAGCAUCUAGGUAGCAUCUAAAUAGAUCUAUAACAUCAUAUUAGGCUGUGUUUAAAGCUGCAAGGAAACUUUUAUAGUUUUUUAGUUUUUUAUAUACGUAUAUAUAUUUGUUAAAACUGUCACUAUGUUGACUGUCACUGUCAGAUAAAUUGUGAAAAUAAAUCAAGUUCCAUUGCCUCAAGCACCUCUGUGGUCCUACUGCCAUCUGCAGAAAUACACAGCUCAGUCAGAAACAACCAAUCAGAGCUAGGUGGAGGGUCUUAGCGCUGUCAAGCAUCCUCAUGUACGCGCUGCUCAAGAUUGCCAGUUUGCUACAGCUGUGCAAACUAUAGUUGUAUAGCUGAGCAUUCACAGGAAACUAGCUGUUGGAAACCAGCUGUAGCAUAGCAGAGAGCAAGGUGGAGGGUGUGAGCAGCAUGUACACAAGAGUGAUUGACAGUGAUAAGACCCUAUUCCUGGCUCUGAUUGGUUGUUUCUGACCAAGUGGUGUAUUUCUGGAGAAAGCAGUAGAUCCACAGAGAGAAGUCAGAGAAGCUUGAGUGUUUUUACACUCAUACUAUCAAGACAGUGAUGGUUUUUACAAAUAUGUAAAAAAAAA